GCCCUGGGGUAUCGGGUAGGGGGCCGCCAUCUUGAGUUGGAAGCCUGGCCUCUAUACUCAUCUUUAGAGGCAGAGGGGUGGACCCAACCAGUUCCGCAGCAGCCGCCGCCGCAACCAGGUCCUGGGAAGUCACAGCACUGCAUGGUGCCACAUUAAUGAAGAGGACUUCUAGCAUUCUUAAGAAGAACUGAAGUAGAGAGCCAGAGAAACCAACAGUAUCUCAAUAUAUAACAUGCAGUAGAGUUGAAAAUCAUUCUACUGGCUCUUUUCACAUAUCAUUGCUAUUGCUCUAGGAGUCUGAGAGUUUCCAUUCUGAGUGCUGUUUAUACACCUUCCUAAGUGUUCUAUGUCCUCAGGAUGUGGAUCCUUUGAGGACUGCUACUUGGAGGAGUUCUUGGAACUCUAUAAACGUUUGUAAGUAAAUGGAUAACCCUGUCAUGGCUGCAAGGAUUUGGGACAAACGUUUUCUCAUCUCAUCUUUGAGCUACACACAGAUCAACAUACCUGCUAUGAUAUUGUCCAGCAGCGUGAUAGGCAUACAGAAUAUGCCGACCAGUAAGUCACUGAUGGCCAGGUUCAAGAUGAAGAGAUUAGUGACUGUGUGCAUGUGUUUGUUCCUCAUGACGAUAAAGCAAACCACUGUG